ACGCCUCUUCAACAUGUUGUUUCUUCAACAAGUUGUUGAAGAAAUGGAGAAGCCAGAGACCCAGACUACGGCAUCCGGUGGCGGCGCUGAGCAAUUUAGGUUCGAAGUGGGUUUUGCCACAAUUUUAGAAGACAAAAUCCCCAUGGAUAUAAAGAUAUUGGAAGGGCAAUAAAUUAUGGUUCUUUGGGCUCUGGCAUCAUUGCUGAUCAUGCAACUUCAAGCAAUGAAAUUUGGUGGUUGAUUUCAGUUUUUGGGGGAAGUUCUCAUGUGUAAAGUUAUUAUCACAUGAUGGCUGUCGGAGGAAAAGAUCAUGGGAUUGAAGGAAAUGCUCAAGGAAUGCAUACUGA